GGUCAAAUGUUUGGAUGCCACAGUGCUAAAAUUCCACUAGGUGAGAAAUGUGGUUAGCCACAGAACCUUACAACAACAGUAUAAGCAGAGAGGGAUUUUCUUCAACCUUUCUGUAUGUUUUAUUAUUAUUUUUAAAUGCACUAGAAAACAGAUGAAAUAAAGUUGCUGUUUGGCUGUUAUAAGAAAAAUCUUAAUUACUGAAACACUACAGAACUAUGUUGCAAAUAGGUAGUUGAGACAGAGGUGAGGCUGUCAAUUUUGACAUGGUGUUGCUUCAAGGUUCUUCUGAAGACCGGGGGAAAAAGAUUCAUGUUUUAUUCAUUGGCUUUGGGUGGCUACCAGUGAAUUCCUGUUUGACUGAAAACUAGUGGAUGCAAGUAGAUCAGAUACUACUUCUUUUCACUUUACAGGUGCUUAGGCUUUACUGUUGGGGACCAAAUAGAAACGAACUAUUUAGCUUCCUCUAGGAGUUUGGAGUUCUGUCCAAUGCAUGCACAAAGACAGGCCCUGUUUACAAUCGACUCUUACUGAUCUGGAGUAAUGGAGGGAUAAGGUGAGAAAACAUGACUAAUGCAGGGCAUGGAGGCUUAAACUGUGAGACUAUAUAUGCUUUGUGCAUCUUCUGAAGCUAUACUCAAAAUUCUUGUUUAGAAAAGAGGCACACUAUAGCAAAAGACAGGUUUUCGUGCAAGUGCAUGCCUCCCACAUGCAAGGCACAGUGCUGCAGGCAGCUACAUCAUGUAUGCUCAGACCAACUAAUCCACUUACAGAUAGGGAACAGAUGACUGUAUUUCAAUAGUGUCUAGAAGUCCUGAAAAAACUACUGGGGUUCAAUCAAAAAUACUAAGAGUUAAACACAAGGCCAAAGAAGAUAAUCUUAGCUAAAAGCCAAUAAUAGAACUUCUGGAAACCUUAUUUUUAGUGCCCUUUAGCUCUAUACUGAUCUAUUAAAUAAUUGUAAUACGAUUGUAAAGAAUAGUGAACAACCUGGAAUGGUGAGAAAUAAAUACAAAUGAAGGAUGAAAGUAGAAAAUGAGAUUAGAAGUAGUUUGCAGCUGUCGGGCAUUCUUACAGAUGAGGUUAAAAUAGAGAUCAGGGAGGAGGUAACAGCAUGGCAGAAAUCUCAAUUUAAUCCUGUUUUCUACUUCCAGUAUUUACUAAACCUCUCAGUGUUUGUGUGUGUACAUAUGCAUGCAUUUUGUCCUGCUUAUUCAUGUGUUAUAGCAGUAACUUUAUUUUUACACUGUAUCUUGUAGUCAAAUCUUCAUUCUAUACCAGUUAACUAAAUUGAAAGAAGUGCAGUUGUAAUCUCCUUACUCGAUAACUGUGUGUGUCUCAGGUGCAAGUAUAAAGGGUAUGUAGGUGUGAAUAGUUUCAGUAACAGGUCUUCAUCGAUAAUACAAAGCGAAUUUUGUUCUUCUGGUUGCCAUGUUGCAUCAGGGAUUAGUGUGACUGAGCUAAUCAACAAUUUACUUGUAUAGCAUUUCCACUGGCUUCCCUCGAGUAAUGCUGAGGUGAUAAAAUCAGAUAAUCUCAGGGGUACUGCUGUUGUAGUGUUGGAGUAUUCAGGACCGCCUUGUUUAUAUUGAAGUGAAACACAGAAAAUGUUGCUAUUUUUUAGUAGCAAAAAAGUGAUUUAUUUGACUGGAUGUUUCUUGGCAUUCUCUCUUCCCUUAGUCUGGUAGUAGUAACUAAUUUACAUCAAAAUAGAAAGACUCAGGAAAAGGUAUCAACUAAAGAGCAAGGACUUUUUUUAGAAUUGCAUAUGUAAACUGUUUAUUAUCUGGAAGGGAACUUACAAAUUUUUUUCACAUAGACAAUUUUGUCAUAGAAAGCUCAUUUAUAGAGAACAGUACAGUUAUUUUCUUGUAUUGUCAGUCUCGAACAAUAAUUAUAGGUUUGUUUGCCUUAGAAUAAUAAUAUAUUAUAAAUAAUGCCUCUUCUUGCUCUACUUAGGCUGUUAAAACUGAAGAAGUUUUAAGAGAAGCCUUGUAAGUCUUUAAGGAAGUCUACUUCACAACCAUUAUUACAUCUAAGAGUAGCUAUUUCAGUGUCAAAACUAAAAUACUGGAGAUGUUUGAAUUUUUUAUGUUACAAAACUAAGGGAAAUAUGUAACUAUUGGUUAGUAUUUACACACACUGGGGCCUCCCAACUUUCAAACAAAAGGUUGAAAUGUUGUUAAAAUUCCAUUCAGUGAUCCCACUCUGUAACAUUUCUGUUUAAAUUCAGAUUCACAAAUGGAGAGCAAUAAUACCAUAUCUCUAGGGCUUCCCUAUUUGUAGAAUAACUCUCAAGUGUGGCAGUCAUUGUGAAGUAAGUGCACCUGCAGAGCUGUUACUCAAAAAUAGCUCUUACCUUUAUAUUCUGUAUUGACCCAAAUGAACAUACUGUGUCCUUUUAUUGAAGUGGUAAACCUUUUUCACUGCUUUUCCAGGUAGUAUAAAUCUUGACAUAAAUAGCUUUUCUUAAAGAACUUCAGUUUGUUUAGAAUAGAGAACAUGCAAACUAAAUUAACACACAGUAUUGCUUGAACAGAAAUGAUAAUUUGCAGAUUACAGCAGCUCUGUAGGGCUAAUCUGCGAUGGAGGGUUUGCCUGAAAUAAGGCAGGUUAUAAAUUUAAAGCAUCGUACUUAUUCCUGACUUAAUUUUUUAUAUUGUUUUUAUAUGACUGGGUUAGAUCCAGUAAUUUACUUGAGUGCUUACAAUCUAGAGGCCUUAAUGACAAAAGUUCAGGUUACCAAAUUGCAGUGCCUAAUCUAAAGUGCUCUGUUGGGUGUCUUGUAGCUUAUUUGGUAUGUGAGGAGAGACAGUUUUUUAAUUCCUACCUGUGCUUGAUUCAAAGCUCCAGUGAAAAGCAUCUAGAGCAGUGGUCUAAUUUCCUGAAUUUAUGUAGUGGCACCUCCACCUGGUUUCCAAAUAACAGUACAUAACUGGAGGAGAGAUGAUGAUUCCCAGCUUUUAUAGCAAUAAAUAUGUACCUAGCACAUACAACUCUAGUGAUCAACAGGUUUUUCAAAACUUUUGAGUGUUGACUUCUGCCAAGUAAUUUAGUUCAUUAUGUAUGAUAGAGUUGGGUGGUUACCAAAGAAACUGCUUGUGGAUGGUAUGUUGAAGUAAUUUUCUGUGUGGAGGUGAUUAUGUGAACCACUGGGUGAAGUCCCAUAUACAAGCAAUCACUCACAAUCCGUAACUGUCUCUGCGGAGAUGCUUACUGUUCAGUUUGGGUACCUCCCCACACACAGUUUCUGCUAAUCACCUUGUAGGAAUGGAGCUCAUUGGGAAUCUUUGCUGCAGCGUAUUGAUCUAAGCUCCUGAACAAUGAGCCGGGGAUGAGGAAUCACAUAUGCAUUCCAGAAACAUUUUUCUGCCCUGAACUCGUCUCAGCAGUGACAGUGCCUGGCUUUGUCAUCCCCUCUGCCACAGCGCUGCCUUCUGGGGCUUACUUCUUUCUGUUUGCAUCAUCGUUUGCCUAAAUGACACCACAUUUUCUGCAUUCUCAUAACCCAGUUGUCUGGAUUUAGGAGAAAACUGAGAUAACAACUCUUCAAGGGGAUUUUUGCUGCCACAGGAGCAGUUGUUGUCUGGAUGAGCUCUCAGUCAUUCAAAAGCCAAGCAUUACAAGAAAAAACAGGCAUUAAAUCUUUGCAGUCAAAUAGAAAACAGCAUCAUGGUGCUUCAGCCUCCUGUGCGCUGCCUGCCUUUCUACAUUUCACAGGGUAACGUUUAUCUGGGGACUCUAUGCUUCAAAAAAGUUUAGAUUAAAAUCUAGUUCCAAACUUACCUUUGUAAUGGACUCAAACUGCACACUGAACGUUGGGGAAAUUCAGAUCCACAUUUCCGUCUGUAUUUCAUGGCUCAAUUCCAGCUGUAGUUUAAAACAAAGAUGCUUAGCUGCUGUCAGCUGAAGUCAAGUCCUGUGUUCCCCUGGCUUCCCAUCAGAUGUGCUUUAUUAAAGCAAAUACUCAUUUUCAUAAUCUGAGAAUUAUAUUCUGAAUUCUUUUUAAAUUCCAGUUAAACACUUUGAUGAAAAAGCUUUUUUUUCUAAAUUCUGCCUUACAUUUAACAUGAACUGCAAGGAACGGCAGUGCUUAGCAGGUAUGAUGAAAAGAACAGAUUUGUCAGGAAAGCAUGUAGCAUUGUCCAUUCUGAAGAAACCUCUCACCAAGAUGAUAGCUAUUUGUAAAAUACACUUCUUGUCUGAUAAUCAGAAAAAGAUAAUCUGUCAUAGAAGUCACAAUUCCUUCACAGUUUCCCCUCUCAGCUUCCUCUGUGAACAGCUGUCAAUACGUGUAUGAAAUUAACUUAAAAACUGGAUAGGUUUGAUGUCUAAUGCAAAACAAACUGAUCUUUUAAAUGGAGCUUUUUCAGGUAGAAAAACCUUUGGAGUUAAUUGGAUGGGAGGAUUCAGAGUUUUUUUCAUCAUUGCAACAUGUUGUUUUGCAAUACAAAAUAUGUCCAUUUACAGUAAAUACAGAGAUGUCUGCAACAAAUUAACUUCAGAUUUUUGGAAACACAGAUGGUGCUUCUUGCACUUUCCCAAAGGGCUGCAUUUGCGCUAGAGAAAGCAGAGGUUUUAGCUACCCUGUUAUUUUUAGGAGUUCAUCCCCAUCAUUUCUACUUCACCAAGAAGAGAGAAAAUCUGAUUUCCAGUUUAUCUGCUAUCAAGCAAGGAGAUUAAACAAUUUGUUUUGUCACUUGCAAUACAUUUCUGCUGCCUCCAGCAUUUAAUUUUAAAAAACAGUACCUUUGUAAAGGAAGUCAUGAAGAUUAUGUACUCCGAAAGGAAAGUCUCAGCAUUCAAUACAUUUUGGAUAGAAAAAAACCACGCAUCGGUGGUGUAACGUAACAUCUCACGUCAUAACCACAAUUUGUCCCUCGAGUCCCAUCCUUCCAGAGUCCCUUCUUCGGGGAAGCCCGGCCUGGGCGGCUUACCCUUGCCGCCAGGAGGUGGCACGAUGCUCCCGCCGCUGCUCCCGGCCGGGCUCCACCGCCGUUCCCGGCGGGGCUCCCGCGGCCGGGGCGAGGCGGUGCCGCCCGCCGGCGGCUUGCCGCUGCUGCCCAUGUCAGUCCUGGACUUGCUCGCAAACGAUCAGGCCCUCGGCGACAGGUUUUGGUUUUUUCACAAGGUACUGGUCGUUUCCAGCACCUCUGGUUUUGGGGCUGGGGGUUUUUUUGAGAUUUACCGCUUCAAACAACUGAGAUGGAGCUUACCCUCCAAAAGUGCCAAAGAGAGAAUGGAAAAUAGAAUGGGACCAAUCUUUUUUUAAAAUUUUAGUAUAAAUAUGAACAAGCAUAUGUAACGUUUUAUAACGACCUUUGUUUGAGCUUAUGUUCCUGAGUGUCUUAAACAUUUUUGGAUUUUUCACCCUUCAUUAUGUUGCUAGACAUUUAAUUCAGAACACUCCAGUGAGGGCAGAAUUGCUGUGUCCUUUAAACAGAAGGGGUAAUCGAAGCAUACAGCUUACAGUAGGGCCUGCAUUCGUCCCACCUAAUUAUAGGCAUCGAAGUGAGAGGGCUGACUUAGAAGCCAGCUUGUCUUUGCUUCCCUCUAGAGUCGAGGGAUAGAUCUGGCACCUCCAAAGAGUGAUUCAGCAUGCAUAGCUAUCAAAAAAAGCCAUGCAGUCAACCUCACACACAGGAAAAAAAAAGUUUCAGAGUUUGGGGGCCAAUAAAAUACAACAUAUGUUUUGUA